rnacentral:rRNA from 1 species
UACGUGGGGCGCAAGCGUUAUCCGGAAUUAUUGGGCGUAAAGAGCUCGUAGGCGGUCUGUCGCGUCUGCUGUGAAAACCUAGGGCUUAACUCUGGGCGUGCAGUGGGUACGGGCAGGCUAGAGUGCGGUAGGGGAGACUGGAAUUCCUGGUGUAGCGGUGAAAUGCGCAGAUAUCAGGAGGAACACCGAUGGCGAAGGCAGGUCUCUGGGCCACUACUGACGCUGAGAAGCGAAAGCAUGGGGAGCGAACAGG